rnacentral:rRNA from 1 species
AUGAUUUAUUACUUCUCUGCUAAAUAUUUCCCUGCUCAUAAGAAACAAGCUGCAUUAAGGGAUAUAUAUAAUUUUGUGCAAAUUAAAGAAGAGAGUCUCCCACAAGCAUGGGGGAGGCUUCUCCAAUUACUUAAUGUUUUGCGUGAUUAUCCUCUUAAGAAAAAUGAAAUACUCGCUAUCUUUUAUAAUGGACUAACCGAUGCUUCCAGAGACCACCUGGAUAGUUGUGCUAGUUUUGUUUUCAGGGAAAGAACACCGGAUGAAGCUGAAAUUCUAUUGAAUAAUAUGUUGAAAAAUGAAAAUAAUUGGACACUUCCUGAGCCAGCUCUUGAGCCAACUCCUGAGCCUAUUCCUGAACCAACUCCGAAGAAAAGGGGUGUUCUAUAUCUCAGUCCUGAAGAUAUGCAAGAGGCAAAGAAAUCUAUGAAAGAAAAGGAUAUUAAAGCUAAAGAUGUUAAGAAUUUACCUCCUAUUGAAGAAAUACAUGGUAUUAAUUUACCGCCUGUUGAAGAAAUAUAUGGUUUUAAUCCAUCACCUAUUGAAGAAACACAUGGUAUUGAUAACCCGACACAGGUAGUAAAG